ensembl:snRNA U6 U6 spliceosomal RNA
GUGCUCGCUUCAGCAGCACAUAUAUACUAAAAUUGGAAUGAUACAGAGAAGAUUAGCACAGCCCCUGCGCAAAGAUGACACGCAAAUUCGUGAAGCAUUCCAUAUUUUU